CCCUUAGAUGUCCUGGGCCGCACGCGCGCUACACUGAUGCAUUCAACGAGUUUUACCUUGGCCGAGAGGCCUGGGCAAUCUUUUAAACCUGCAUCGUGAUAGGGAUAGAUUAUUGCAAUUAUUAAUCUUGAACGAGGAAUUCCUAGUAAACGCAAAUCAUCAAUUUGCAUUGAUUACGUCCCUGCCCUUUGUGCACACCGCCCGUCGCACCUACCGAUUGAAUGGUCCGGUGAAGCCUCGGGAUUGUGGCCAGUUCACUUUAUUGGGAGUUGGCUGUGAGAACUUGUCUAAACCUUAUCAUUUAGAGGAAGGUGAAGUCGUAACA
rnacentral:rRNA from 1 species